AGAACGAACGCUGGCGGCGUGCCUAACACAUGCAAGUCGAGCGGGAAAGUUCCCUUCGGGGGACAAGUACAGCGGCGAACGGGUGAGUAACACGUAGGUAACCUACCCUGGUGACUGGGAUAACUUGCCGAAAGGCGGGCUAAUACCAGAUAAGACCACGGGGGCUGCGGCCCUUGGGGUAAAAGAUGGCCUCUGCUUGCAUGCUAUCACGCCGGGAUGGGCCUGCGCGCCAUUAGCUAGUUGGUGAGGUAACGGCUCACCAAGGCAGAGAUGGCUAGC
rnacentral:rRNA from 1 species